rnacentral:rRNA from 1 species
GACGAACGCUGGCGGCGUGCUUAACACAUGCAAGUCGAGCGGUAAGGCCCUUCGGGUACACGAGCGGCGAACGGGUGAGUAACACGUGGGUGACCUGCCCUUAGCUCUGGGAUAAGCCUGGGAAACUGGGUCUAAUACCGGAUAUGACCUCAUGACGCAUGUUGUGGGGUGGAAAGCCUUGUGCGGCUAGGGAUGGGCCCGCGGCCUAUCAGCUUGUUGGUGGGGUGAUGGCCACCAAGGCGACGACGGUAGCCGGCCUGAGAGGGCGACCGGCCACACUGGGACUGAGACACGGCCCAGACUCCUACGGGAGGCAGCAGUGGGGAAUCUUGCGCAAUGGGCGAAAGCCUGACGCAGCGACGCCGCGUGAGGGAUGAAGGCCUCGG